ACUAAGCCAAACUGUAGCUGAUGUUCAAGGUGAUCUGUCUGAUCAUGAGGGAUAUCCAGACCCCCCAAUUCUCACACCCCAAAAUGUAGAUAUGUCAUCAUCACAUGCUCUUAAAGCGCAAUCCAUCCGAGACCUUAAGCCCCCUGAGGGUGAUGGCAUGAUUACACAGGAGGCCUUAACCCAUUUCAGUCAGGCGUGUCAAGCUGUAACCGCCUUACUAGGCGCUAGCGACGCAAAAGGCCGCAGAAGUGCCCCUCCACGUCCUCCCCUGGGGAGGAAUGUUAGGGUUAAGUCACCUGUGCCAAGUGGGUCUGAUGGAAGUGAGCGGAGCAUGAGUGAUUGUGACAGUGAUGUGGGAAAGCAUGUGAUCCAUUCCCUACCACGCAGGCAUAAGAUUGCCCAUCAGGGGGAUGAGAGUUUCAGACGACCAACAUAUGCUGAGGUGGUCUCUAGAAAGAAAAAUACUCAGUGUUCAGAAAAGGAUCAGAACUCCUCGAGUAUUAUUAAGUUUUUAAAUGUCACUGUGCCCAAAUUCUCUAAAAAGGGUUCUCCUGAAAUUGCCAAUCACUUAGAACUGUACCAGUCCACCAUGGAUUCUUUAAAAUUGUAUUCUGAUGCGGACAGGAUCAGAUUCCUACCAUGGGCAUUUGAUGGUAAAUAUCGCCACUACUUUAUUUCAUUUAGGGAGAGGGGAAUUCAGGAUUGGCAGGAUGUUUUGCAUGAGGUCAAAUUAGAAUUUGGACCUUACCGUACUGUUACUGCUGCAAAACGUGAUAUCUAUAAACUUACAUGUAGACCCAAUCAGAGUCCCCGUGAAUUCCUCCCUAUCCUUAAAAAUGCCUAUGGGUUGGCGUAUAGAUCCCCAAACUGGGAGUCUGAGGAGUUCAAAAAGCUGUUUUAUGAUGCAAUGCCCAUGCAAAUUAAACUUAGCUUGGCUAGAGAUCUUGAUCUCAAAGCUCCCUUGGACAGGUUGGUGACGGCUGCCACCUCACUGUAUAACAUCAGUGAAUGCCAUGCUACAGGUGAGAGGAGAUAUAAAAAGUCCCCAGAACAAAGCAUAGCAGAAGCUAAGGUAAACCCUAGCUUCAAAUUUGAAACGCAGCCACGUAAGUACCCUCAGUCUACAGGACCUGUCCAACAAACCCAGCGACAACAGUUAGGACCCAAGCAAACAAGACCUCAGAGCCCCAAUGGGCCAGAGGGGGAUAACUCCAGUGCUGGCAGGUUUAACUACCGUCCCCAAUAUUACAAUAGGGGUCCCCAGGGGGGAUACAGACGCUGGAACAACAGGCCCAGACAACAGAAGGAAAAUAGGCCUGAAUCCCCUACCUCACCUAGAAGUCGGUCACCCACUUCUAAUAAGGGCGCACCAGAGGUCCAAACUGUGCGCAAACCAAACAAUCGUUUGGAUCAGUUGGCAGAUCAAGUGGCCAAAUUACAGGAGAUCGUUAGUAAAAUGUCCCAGGUGUCAACUGGAAAACAGCCUGAGUCUUUUUUAGGGGCAACUGCAGGACCCAGCUCAGCCCCAUAAUGCAGGCAGGGCAGGGUCAGAGCCCAGGCCGGUGCAAGGCUACUGAGAUGGUUGUAAAAGAAUCUGAUGUGAUUUCUAAUCCUACUUUGCCUUGCAGUGUUCCUGACCCUAAAAUUGAGGCCAAGGAGGAGAUGUCUAACAUGUUGUCUAUGUUACAGUCUAAUCACGAUGAUUCCUGCACUAAUGUGUCUUCUCCAGUGAGUGAUCCUAUCAUCUCAGCGUCCACCUGUGAGCUGCCGCCUGUAAGCUGUGAUGUGAUCCAGUGUUCUCCGAAGGUGGGGGCUGCUGCUGCUGCCACCGCGAGCAGCAGGAAUUCCAAGAAUUCAUCAGAGGUCGCGACGCUGCAGAAAGGUCAAAUCCUUAACAAAUGUCAAAUAAGUGAUCACCCUAAUUUUUUAUGUGAUUUGUUUCAGAUAGAAGGCCGAUAUUUUCUUGAUUCCUAUCUCCAAGAUGAACUUAUCGGACCAAUCAGGGGUUUACUUGACACAGGAUCACAAGCCACUAUAUUGUCAUAUAGUUAUUUGCCCAGAAGAAUCUGGAGAAAGCAGCCGUGAGUGCCAAAACCUACUAUGAUCUGAAGACUACUCAAAAGGAGUACCAAAUUUCUGAUCAGGUUUAUCUCUAUAACUUCGCCCGGGAUCAGGUGAAGGAAAGGAAGUUCCUGCCUUCCUGGAAGGGACCCUAUGUCGUCACUGACAAAUUGUCACCUGUGGUCUACAAGAUCAAAAUUCCUAAGGGGGAUGAAUUUAUAGAGAAAUGGGUGCACAUUAAUCAAUUACGUGUUUGUCAUCCUAGGUCACAACUUCGCCAAAUGGAAGGAUUGCCGGAUGAUGAAGAGUAAAGAGAUAACAAGGUUCCAGCUAAAGACGGAAACCCAGGAUUGGUAUAGUGCAAAAUGGCACAGAGGGUUGUUGCCGUUAUCUACAUCGUCCUGAUCUUGGGGAAGGAGUUCCAGGCCGAGCCGAUUGCUGUACCAGGCCCUUCAUCUGGGAUCAUGCUACAGGAUACCACGGGAUUCAUCUUGACGAAUAAGAGGAUUCUAUCCCAAAAGAUCUACGUCAGUUUGGACCCACGUGUCUUCGUCGAGAGACAGUUCAACAUUUCUGAGAUUUCGUCUCCGGAGAUAAAGAUUUGGUAUCAAAUGCACAUCGGCUAUUCCCAAGAAAGAGUUACACAGAUCCUGGAACAGACAAGGAAAACCAUGACCAGAGAACAGUUUUCAACAAGUCGACGACCAAAGCGGUUCAUUUCUGCAAUUACAGCCGCCAUAAUCUUUGCCGUAGUGGGCACUGUCAUUGCCACCGGUGUAUCAGCUGUUAAUUCCAUCUCUAUUAAGACAUUGGAACUUGAGAUCGGUUCACUGAAAAGGAACCUAAUGAGUAUUCAUGCAGAGAUGGAGAACCAGAAAAAACAUUUAUCGGACUUAUAUUCCGUUGUAGAGGAUACUGUCGUCACCACCGACUUUCACUCAAAGUUAUUGACUCAUUCAAUGAAUCUUCAUGAGAGUCACGAACAGUUUAAACAAGAACUAAUGUCUCUAAAGACUCUGAAUGAAAACCCCAUUGUGACAUUCCAAUGUAACCCAACAUCUCUAUUGGAUUACAUUGUAAUGAAGGGGGAUUUUGUUGUGCUUUUUCAUAAGUUUAAACAGUUAUAUUUACUUAUUUUAGUUAUAAUGGGUAUUCAUUGCCUUUAAGAGCAAUGUUGAUUUAUAUUCACUGUUUUGUAUGAAGUUUCAUG